CGGGAUAGCUCAGCUGGUAGAGGAGAGAUGAA
rnacentral:tRNA from 1 species